CCUGCUCUCCAGCCUGUGCUUGGAAAUGAAGGCUUUCCUUUCUUACACUGGUGAGGAGUGUAUCCAGCUCACACGUCAGCUCCUGUGAGAUGUAUCUGGUUGAGCUUCUGUGCAUCCCAAAAGCUGCUUCCAGGUGCUGUGUGUGUUAUACAAUCAGACAACAUGAUGAUGUAGAACCACCACCAUCCAGACCACCCAGCAUGAGCCCUGCCAGGGAGCAGGAGUCCUCUCCUCUGAUGGCAAAACGUUGUUUCUGCUGCCCUGGCCACGGUUCUGUGCUUCCCACCCAUGGACAGCAUGGGAAGCCACCCACCACACACGCUGCCUACAUGUGUUUCAGCUGCCUACAUGUUUACAGCUUGAUUGCUGUUCAUAAAACCAGCACGUGGAACAGGCAAACUCCGUGUGCUCCAGAAACCCUUGGGGUGUGCUUUGUCAAUGUCACGCACAUCAAGGAAGUUCAGCGAGCGCUCAGAGUGACUUCUCGUGUUCAGAACCCUUUUCCAUUAUUCACAUCUGCUGUCAGAGCUGCAGCCAUUGCUGUCACAACCUGAAACAAAAAUACCUCCCAGCCUGGAGACUUCCAAAAGCCUAAGGUGGGGGAGAAAUGUUUCCUUGCUACUUAAUGCUCCCAAACAGCUUUUGGUGACAGUUUUGCCUUGCUCCAAACACUCCAAGAACAGCACAUAAGGUGGAGCUGUUUUCCCUAGACUCCUGGUGACAUGGGAUCACAGGAUUAUUUACAUCAGAAAAGGGCUGGCCUUGAAGAAAGCAAAAUAUUAGAUGCUGUUUGGAACAGCAAGAAAGUUCAUUGCAUUUCAAGUGCACUGCAGAUUAACUCCAGCACUCCUAGUCUCUCUUCCUCCCCCACUGGCUCAUCAGUCAGCUGUUAAGACUUUCUAGUUCAACUUUGGAGUAAAAAAAUCUUGACAAAUUGCAAUCCAAUUGUUUGGUUGGGGUUUUUUUUUCCUCUCCCUUUCCCCCACCCUCCCUUCUCAGAGUGACUUUGAAGAUGAUAUUUGUAUUUCUGAAUUAAAACCACAUUUGCCCAAUACUGCAGAGGGGUGAGGCAGAGGCAGAAGAAAGAAGAAAAGCUUUUGUUCUCCUUCUCACAGCGACCCCUCACCUGCCAGGGGCAAGCUCCACAAUAAUUUCUAACAGCUGAGGUUAGUCAGGGACACCUAAUCCCAGAAAGCUGGCUCUGAAUUCCAGCACCAGCACACAGUGUUUGAGUUUCAUCAACAGCCAUUUACAUCUAAUUCUCCCAAUCCUCUGAAGUGUGAGUAUGUGUACAGGUGUGUGCUUAUUUAAUCAAAAUAUAUAAUUUUUUUCAUAAAUCUGAACCCAAAUGAUAUCAACAGCAGUGACAUUAUGUUUUUUAAAUCUAAGCAAGCUCAGGAAUUGUUUUGAGGAUGCGCUGGGGUCUUUUGAGUGUACCCUAAACAUCAGUGUCUACAGAAUGCCCAAGAAUUGUGAUUCCCAGCCAAAGGGAGGGCUGAGUUCUCAUUCCCUGAUUUCCUGUAAUGGAAAAGGAGUGCUCUGUGCAAAUGAAACUGAAAGUCUCUUGCUGAGUGUGCUGAGACCUGUCCAGUGUGUCUCCAGAAGGGAUGUAAGGAGCAUCCUGGCAGCACAACAGAGAGAAACCUCCCAGGGUUCAGCUGAUGGGAGGAUGUGACAGCAACGGCUCACUCCGAAAGAAAUGCAUCUUCCCAGGCAUGAACAGGGAUCAGAUGGGAUUUGGCAAAGACUGCUGGGGACAAUGAUUUUUACCCUGGUGUCCUGUGACCUUUGGAGGAUGAGUGAUCCAUCUCCCUGUGGGAGAUUUGGUGUUUUGCCACUCGUCAACAAAAUGCUGUCCUCAAUGCACCUGUCAAGAUCCCACUCUGGAACAGAAGAUCAGAGCAAACGGGGGCUGAGGAGAACAAAAGCUGACCCAAACCUUUGACCUAAAUUUAACAUAAAGCCAGAUGAAACCUUAGAGUCCUCCCCAGUGUCAAGGCUGGACCGAUGUGCCAGCAGGGCUGUCCCUGUCCCAGUGUUUGACAGCAGUGAUGGCACCUUCUUCAGACACCCUGACCAGAAUGCCUUCAGAGUAUCUGCUGGGUGCCUUUGUCUUUGGAGGUUUGGAUAGUCCUGUCCAUGAACUGACCACUAUUUAACACCUGAAAGAAAACAAAGACUGUGACAAAAGGUGCUGGCUGAGCUCCAUGGACCAUCCAGUGUGGGGACAGCAGUGGUGGAGCGAAUCCACUGGACAGAGAAACCAGGCACAGAAGAAAUUAUCCUAUUUGCUUAUUUCAGCCCAAGUUAGAAGGGAAAAAUUCUAUGUGUUGGCCUAGUGACAAAUCUAUUUUGACU